GGAACGCUGAGGAGACAAAAGGCAAAGAAAAUAGUUUAUCCACUUUAAUGGAGGGAGACUUUUAAUCACUACGGAUUCCAAGAAAUUUUGACUUAUGCAGGCAGGAGCUGGAACUCCUUGCAUUCCCUAGAGAAGAUUAUCUGCUGGGAAAGUGACUAUUCUUCAGACUUCCCGUGCUGUUGCAGGAUCUGUUUCUUCAAAAUGCUACAAGUCUCUUUUUAUCAUAUCCUCUAACCAAAUGGACAAUCAGUAGCCAUAUUAUUUGGAAACAAUAACAAUUUUCUUGCACAUACACACACAUUUUCAUUCUUUACUAAGAGAAAAGUACAGUUGUCAUUUUCCGUAAAUCUCAGUGCUCUCGAAUAGAAAAAAAAAAUAAGUUGCAGAAUGAA